rnacentral:misc_RNA from 1 species
GUUGCAAUUCACCUUAUCUCCCGCUUGCUCCGUUUCAUGUGCAGAACCCAAGUCCGUUAUGAUAAUUUGAUUUUUGAUUUAGACAAAUGUAUGUAGUUUUAAUGGUUGAACGCGUAGCGCUACAAGAAUGAAUAAAUUCACAGUGUGGUAUUGAAUCUCAAUAAUGAUCCCUUCCGUAGGGGUGCCUGCGGAAGGAUCAUUAUUGAGAUUCAUUACCACACCUGUGAAUUUAUUCAUUCGUUGUAGCGCUUCGGCGUUACAACCCAUUAAAACUACUAUUACAUUUUGUCUAAAAUCAAAAAAUCCAAAAUUAUCAAUAACGGAUCUCUUGGUUCUCGCAUCGAUGAAGACCGCAGCAAAGCGCGAAAGAUAAUGUGAAUUGCAGACGUGAAUCAUUGAGUUGUUGAACGCACAUUGCACUUUUCUUAACGGAAAAGUAUGCUCUGGCGAGCGUCAUUUCUCUCUCCACACCUAGUGGGUAUUGAGGCUGUACACAGCCCUUAAAAAGAUCAUGCGUAUGUGUUAACCACAAUGUGCGCUUUAAAAUCUAAUUUUGACCUCGUCUAGAGCAAGAGUACCCGCUGAACUUAA